rnacentral:lncRNA from 1 species
AUGACCCUACCCCGUUACAUCAUAAGGGAUUCCUCCUCCAGGGAUCAAGGUUAUGACCCUAACCUGUUAGGUAGUAGUGGAUUCCUCCCCCAGGGUUCAUGGGUGUCCUUUGGCAGGUUCUGUUUGCCCAGGUGCAUUGAAGCUAAUGAUGGAGCUCUUUUUUGGUUCUUGAAACAUGUAGGCCUGUGGGAAAACUUUUGGAUGUCCUGGUUGAAAUUGGUGAUUCCCGGCCACAGAGAAUCCUCUUCCACCCACACUGACAUCCAUUCCCAUCCAAGGUUUAUAUCCCUCUGUUCCCUUACUGAUGACAGCAUUACUUCCCUACAGCACUAAUCUUCUGAUGUCUUAAGGAAAGCUUAUAGUAAAACUUCAGAUGUUGAGAGCUGACUCCGUGUCCAGCAGCACAUCCGGGGCUUGGGCUGCAGAGAUGGCCAGGUCGGGGUACCAGCCACCAGUGCACGUCCAGUCAGAGGAUAAACAGCAUGUUAAACAAACAACAGUGAAGCCAAUACAGCAAGUUGUGUCCAAACUGCAAGUGCGUGUUUGGUAGGCGUUGGGCUCAGGUUCACAUUUCAUCUUUAAAACAGUUCUGAGAUUGCUGUUCUAGAAGAGGAAACUAUACAGGGUCAUUCACACAGCCAGUCGACGGUGAGCUAAAGCUUAAACACAGUUCUGGUUCUGGCAGGCGCCAAAGCCCAAGUGUUUUCAAUAAACUGCAUUCUGGAAGCCCA